UCGGAAGUUAGAGAUAUUUUUGCAUCCAGAAGGUCAAAUAACUCGCCACUGAUUGCCUCUCCUGCUGAAGAUCUAAAGGCUAAGGCCGCCAACGACUGCGUUCAAGGUUUCAUUCAUUUAUCUUUUUUUCUUUUUCAUUUCUAACCUUUUAUUAUCCAAAUUAAUUAUGAAAUUAGACAGAAAAUGGCUAAUUUGUAUUUAAAAAAAUUAAAAAAAAAACUGUGUAAUAUGUUGUGAGCUGUAGAGAGAUAUUAGCUGACGUGGCUUAGUCGUCUGAGUAAUUGUUUGCAGAAGGCGUUCGAGCUGGAUUAAAGGCCGCUGCCGUAAUGUGUGUUGUCACCGCUGUGCCUACGGUAGGUUUUAUCCGUAUUUGUUAAUCUUGAUUAUAUUUGAAUUUUGGAAAUUGAGCGAUUGUAUUUUAUUGUAUUGUGCCUGUUAAUUGACUUAUUAUUUAUUUAUUGCAUUAGUGGAAGCAGCGAGUAAUAUUUUCAAUUUUUUUUUUCUAAAAAAAUUGAAAUGGAUUGUUCUUCUUUGUUUCGAUUAUUGUUGUGCCUAAUUGAAGAGAAUAUUUUUAGGAAAGGACCUCAAUAUUACAGAUCUCUAGUGUUCUGUUCUGUGGCCCUGUCUUCUAUUACCUAAUCUUCUGUCCUGUGUUAUUCAUCUUAAGUUUCACUUAAUUUGAAAAUCUAUCUGGUGGCCACCGAUAUUUCAUUUGUUAUGGCCACAGCGGCAAAUUAUAUCGUGUCCGCUGAAUAUUACAGAAAAUGUGACUGCCUUGGUUGAUGCUUAAAAUACUUUGGUCACUUCUGAGAUUAAGAAAUAAUAAGCAUGUGAGCCCUUUGCACAAUAGACUGCCCUACUAUCUAUAUUAUGUGUUUGGUGAGGAAGUAAAGUGCUGAGCAGUAUACAAUUGGAGUCUCUGUCUUGACUGUCAUCAAACUAUUCAAGAUUCAAAAGCACAUAAAAAGAGAUCAAAAUCGAAACGAACACUGCAAUGCACUGUCCUCCUCAAAUCUUAAUCCGCCAUCCAUUUUUGAGUUUCUUAUUCUAAUUAAGAAGAAGAAGAAGAAGAAGAAGAAGAAGAAGGAAUGGGAUUUCCGUCGGAAGUUAGAGAUAUUUUUGCAUCCAGAAGGUCAAAUAACUCGCCACUGAUUGCCUCUCCUGCUGAAGAUCUAAAGGCUAAGGCCGCCAACGACUGCGUUCAAGGUUUCAUUCAUUUAUCUUUUUUUCUUUUUCAUUUCUAACCUUUUAUUAUCCAAAUUAAUUAUGAAAUUAGACAGAAAAUGGCUAAUUUGUAUUUAAAAAAAUUAAAAAAAAAACUGUGUAAUAUGUUGUGAGCUGUAGAGAGAUAUUAGCUGACGUGGCUUAGUCGUCUGAGUAAUUGUUUGCAGAAG
rnacentral:lncRNA from 1 species